GAUGAACGCUGGCGGCGUGCCUAAUACAUGCAAGUCGAACGCUGAAGGAAGGUGCUUGCUCUUUCCGGAUGAGUUGCGAACGGGUGAGUAACGCGUAGGUAACCUGCCUGGUAGCGGGGGAUAACUAUUGGAAACGAUAGCUAAUACCGCAUAACAGUAGAUGUUGCAUGAUAUCUACUUAAAAGGUGCAAUUGCACCACUACCAGAUGGACCUGCGUUGUAUUAGCUAGUUGGUGAGGUAACGGCUCACCAAGGCGACGAUACAUAGCCGACCUGAGAGGGUGAUCGGCCACACUGGGACUGAGACACGGCCCAGACUCCUACGGGAGGCAGCAGUAGGGAAUCUUCGGCAAUGGACGGAAGUCUGACCGAGCAACGCCGCGUGAGUGAAGAAGGUUUUCGGAUCGUAAAGCUCUGUUGUAAGAGAAGAACGAGUGUGAGAGUGGAAAGUUCACACUGUGACGGUAUCUUACCAGAAAGGGACGGCUAACUACGUG
rnacentral:rRNA from 1 species